UACAGAGGUCCCAAGCGUUGUUCGGAUUCACUGGGCGUAAAGGGCGCGUAGGUGGCGGGGUAAGUCUGAUGUGAAAUCUCCAAGCUUAACUUGGAAAUGGCAUUGGAAACUACCUUGCUAGAGGAUUGGAGGGGAGACUGGAAUUCUUGGUGUAGCAGUGAAAUGCGCAGAUAUCAGGAGGAACACCGGUGGCGAAGGCGGGUCUCUGGGCCGAAAUUGACGCUGAGGAGCGAAAGCGUGGGGAGCAAACAGG
rnacentral:rRNA from 1 species